rnacentral:rRNA from 1 species
GACGAACGCUGGCGGCGUGCUUAACACAUGCAAGUCGAGCGGAAAGGCCCUUUCGGGGGUACUCGAGCGGCGAACGGGUGAGUAACACGUGAGUAAUCUGCCCUUGGCUUUGGGAUAACUACCGGAAACGGUGGCUAAUACCGGAUACGACGUACUCAGGCAUCUGAUGUGCGUGGAAAGUUUUUUCGGCCAGGGAUGUGCUCGCGGCCUAUCAGCUUGUUGGUGGGGUAAUGGCCUACCAAGGCUUCGACGGGUAGCCGGCCUGAGAGGGUGACCGGCCACACUGGGACUGAGACACGGCCCAGACUCCUACGGGAGGCAGCAGUGGGGAAUAUUGGACAAUGGGCGGAAGCCUGAUCCAGCAACGCCGCGUGAGGGAUGACGGCCUCGG